rnacentral:rRNA from 1 species
UAUUACAAGCUCAGCUUAAAAUCCAAAGGACUUGACGGUGUCCCACAUCCUUCUAGAGGAGCCUGCCCUACAAUCGAUUAUUCCCGCUAGACCCUACCAUCUCUUGCAACCCCAGCUUGUAUACUUCCGACGCAAGUUUACCAUUUGAACGAUCAGUGGACCUAAUGUUCCAGUUUAACCAGUACGUCAGGUCAAGGUGCAGCCUAUGAGAUGGGAGAGGUGGGCUACAAUUUCUAAUCUAGAACAAACGAACUACUGCAUGAAAACACAGUAUGAAGGAGGAUUUAGUAGUAAAAAGAAAUCAGCGAGUUCUUUUUAACAUGGCCCUGGGGCGUGU